UCAAGGGAUGGCUCAGUCAGUAGAACAUGAGACUCUUAAUCUCCAGGUUGUGGCUUUGAGCCCCACAUUGGGCAAAA